CACCCAGGUCAGUGCUUGGCACCUGGUAAGCACUCAGUAAACACUUGUUGAGUGCCUGCUGUGUGCCAGCAUUGUGCCGAGGGCU
rnacentral:pre_miRNA from 1 species